CUCUCUCUCUCUAAACAGAACGCAUCACCACCGCUAUUCUUUUGUCUCUUUCCUCUCUCCCUUCCAUUUCUCCCAUCACCGCAUACCUAUAUUCCCAAGGCCGUAAAUUUGCUAUCCUACAUCAUAUGACCGCGUAACCACCACCACUAACCUCCUCUCUUCCUCCUCUACAAAACCGAGUUUUUCAUUUUUCCGAUCUACCAAUUUUAUUUUCGCGACCGCGUAACCACCUACGCCGUGACGGAGAUUUUUUCAUGUUCAUUUCACCUAUUUCUUUACUUAUAGUACUGUAGAGUUUGUUUUAUGGGAGAUCUCAUUUCUUUGGUGGUUGGUGGAUUUCAUCAAGAUGGGGAAAGGGACUUCAACUCUACAUUUGGUUUCUUUUUCAGAAGUGUGAUCAAGGACAAUGGAUGUUUGUUCGUGAGGAGCUACCGGUUGCAAUAACGUCGGGCUGCUAAAACAUUAUGAGCGCUCUCUCAGGGAACCAAGAGACUCAGGCCUUUGUCAGAGUUUUGUGUCUCCUACUACUACAUAUUAUCAGAGUAAUACUGCAUUUCCAAUUUUACUUUUCUGUAUUUCUAUUGAAAAGGACUUUUCUCGUAUUCUAAGUAGCGAGUGUUGUAAAAAACUAUUAUUGAUAAUAUAUAUAUGGAUGACAUUAACUUAACACAAACAAGAAUGUAAAAGAAAUUUUGAUAUGGAUAGCAUUACUUCAUCUCUCUUGAGUUCAACUAUGCACGUCGUGAUUUCAUCUAUUUAAAUAAAAAUAAUGAUAUGGGAUUAAACAUAAAUGAUAUUUAUUGUUUAUUAAUAAAAGGUAACACAAUAAAACUUACCUAGGGCUAGGAGGCGAAGGGAACAUAAACUCCAUUUUUAUCUGCAAAAUUUAAAGAAAAAUAUAUAAAAUAAAACAAGGAAUAGUCAUACCUAAAAUCCAAAUAUUACGAUCGGUAAACAAACAUCACUUAAUGCAUGUUUCAUUAACAUAUAGAGGAACAAAUAGUUAAAAAGUUUGAUAUAAUAGUAUUCUUUAUUGAUUGAUUACUCAUCCAUGAAAAAUUAGAAUGUCAAGUUAAUAACUAGAAUGAGCAUUCUACCUGUAGCAUAAAUUAGAUAAUGAAAAUAUUUAAGUCACAUAUUAAGGAAUUACAUAUAAUAACCAAACUUUACCAAUAUCAAUUUGUUGCCAAACUUUACACCUCUUAACCGAACUCUAAAUUAAAAUGUAAAACAAAAGGCCAAGACCAAUUGUUUUUUACUAAAAUCAAAAUAAUUGACCAACAUAAUAAUACCCUUUUGUACAAAUGGGUAUAAAAUUUCCAUUAUCAGAAAACUAAACCAUGACAGAAAAAUAAAAUUCUAACCUUUUCCAGGAAUAAAAACAAGACCAGUUCCUUGGCUGAAAUUCACACCAGGGUUGUACCUCUGAAGCAACUCAGCAUCAAUAUUAGUAUCCUUUGCAAUAGACUCCAAAGUGUCCUUAGUGUUGGUGGUAUUCUAGAGGUGUGGUAUAUAUUAUAAACUAUAUUGUUGCAUAAUUUAGAGUAGGAUAGUAUUUUUGAGGCUGAAUAUUCAUGUAUUUUUUCUUAUAUCAAAUGCAUCUCAUACACAUGAAUAUAUAUAGCAUUAGUAGUGAUGAUUA